rnacentral:lncRNA from 1 species
CCUGCAACCCACAUUGACCUGCAUGAGUCCAAGAAGAUUGCAGCGAAGCCAAGCAUGGACAGCGAAGCAGAUGAUUCUACUGCUACUUCCUACUAGCGGUUUAGCUAGCCGAGGCAUCAAGAGCAAUCGCAUCGGAUUCCUCCGGAAAACGGCAAGCAGCGUUUGUCAAUCGGAGGAUGCGGGUACGACGAGCGGUCCGGGGCACGGGGAGGAUACAGGAUAGGAAAAGAACAAACCGCCCGAAUAACUGCCAGGACCCCGUCGUCCAUGCCAUGCAAUCCGCUUUCACCAGCCCAUGCCGAUUCACUGUGGCGCCGCUGCUCCGCCACUGU